CCACAGCAAUCAACAACACAGAAGACAACUUCUGCAACCCUAUCGGGAGAGGAGGGGUUCUCUCCACCACCAGAUUAUUCCUGACUAGUGAUAUAAAUAAAAUCUUUCCUGGUCCAGAAUUGGUGUUGAGCCUCUCAACAAAUCUUUGAGCCCUGAUUAUAUAUAAGGUAUUGUGCCAGGUGCAGUGGCUCACGCCUGUAAUCCCAGCACUUUGGGAGGCUGAGGUGGGCGGAUCACCUGAGGUCGGGAGUUCGAGACCAGCCUGACCAACAUGGAGAAACCCCGUCUCUACUAAAAAUACAAAAUUAGCUAGGCAUGUUGCCACGUGCCUGUAACCCCAGCUACUCGGGAGGCUGAGGCAGGAGAAUCAACUGAACCUGGGAGAUGGAGGUUGUGGUGAGCUGAGAUUACACCAUUGCACUCCAGCCUGGGCAACAAGAGCAAAACUCCAUUUCAAAAAAAAGAAGUAUUGUGCUAGAUAAAUAAAACAACAAAAAUGUGUAUGUAAAGUUUUUACUCUAAGAUGAAGGUUCUCAAACGUCAGUUUUCAUCACAGUCCCCUGGAAGAAUUCUCAAAACACAGAAUGCUUGCCAAGUCAAUCCUAAGCCAAAAGAACAAAGCUGGAGGCAUCACACUACCUGACUUCAAACUAUACUACAAGGAUGCAGUAACCAAAACAGCAUGGUACUGGUACCAAAACAGAGAUAUAGACCAAUGGAACAGAACAGAGCCC
rnacentral:lncRNA from 10 species